rnacentral:rRNA from 1 species
AGUAACGCGUGGGUAACCUGCCUCAUACAGGGGGAUAACAGUUAGAAAUGACUGCUAAUACCGCAUAAGCGCACAGUGCUGCAUGGCACAGUGUGAAAAACUCCGGUGGUAUGAGAUGGACCCGCGUCUGAUUAGCUAGUUGGUGGGUAACGGCCUACCAAGGCGACGAUCAGUAGCCGGCCUGAGAGGGUGAACGGCCACAUUGGGACUGAGACACGGCCCAA